UACGGGGGGGGCAAGCGUUGUUCGGAAUUACUGGGCGUAAAGGGCUCGUAGGCGGCCAACUAAGUCAGACGUGAAAGCCCUCGGCUUAACCGAGGAACUGCGUCCGAUACUGGAUGGCUUGAGGUUGGGAGAGGGAUGCGGAAUUCCAGGUGUAGCGGUGAAAUGCGUAGAUAUCUGGAGGAACACCGGUGGCGAAGGCGGCAUCCUGGACCGGUAUUGACGCUGAGGAGCGAAAGCCAGGGGAGCAAACGGG
rnacentral:rRNA from 1 species